CUGAAUAGGGGGCCGGAGCCAACGCACGGGAAGAGCCGCGUUUCGGGGCGAGGCCGCGCUUGCCGCGGGGUCUCCAGCCUCAUAACCACCGACGCGGCCGGAAUCGGACUCAGAGGACGGAGCGACAGGCCGCCCAGGGCCCCGCGGACUAGGGAGCGAGGCUCUGCUGGAACAAACCAAUGCGCCCAGAAGGCGGAGGGCUUCAGGGACAGGAAUCUCACCGGGAAGAACCCCCUUCUGCCCUCCAACCUAUGACCCGAGACCCAUCCGAGCUUGGAUGAGGCGGAAGAAACCCAGAAAAGAAGCAGAUCGCGCAGAGGGGCCAAGGCUCGAGUGAUUUCACCACGUUCAGAAGCCGAGGGGAAAAAAAAGACGUGAAAACGGAAAUGACCUGUCUAGGGUCAACAAGAGCUGAAUGGGAGAAGUCGGAGGCCUGGACUCCUGGCUUGGUGCUGUCCACACAAUCACACUGAUAGAAAUUUCAUCUGAAGAGAUCCUUUUGAGAAACAACCAAGUAUGCCUUCCAAGUUUCAAUGCUAUUCUACGAACACGGAAAAUGAAAAGAUCUCAGAAAUGUGCUGGUCAGGGAUCCAUAUCAUUCAAGGAUAUGACUGCGAACUUCACCCUGGAUGACUGGCUACGACUGACUGGCACGCAGAGGCCCCUGUACCAGGCUGUGAUGCGGGAGAACUGCGCUCCGCUGGUCUCAGUGGGGUGUUGUUUCACCAAGCCAGAGGUGAUCUCCAGGCUGGAGCAAAGGGAAGAGCUGUGGCCAUUGGAAGGUUCCCAGGCCGAGUGAUCAGAUAUUCCCACUACAUGUUACUCAAGUUCUUGGUGCUGUUGCUCAAAAACUCAUCGUAAGUUCCAUCUGAUCAGUCUCCUAAGUCUUACUCAGACACUUUCCACACAUCCGCACCUCGUCCUGACGUUUGCCCUUCUAGAUCCUGAAGAAAGGGCGUAGGACUGUGCCUCCAUGUAGUUCAUGUUUAUCGUGCUUAUUUUUACACAUACUUAUGUUUGAGCUGAAGUUUCACCUCUGUUUGGAAGUGCUUAAUCAAUCUAGCCAACAUGAAUCCCUCCCUUCUUCCAAUUCCCACUUCACCUAGUGGCUAAGUCACAGCAACUCAGAUUUGAUCAUAUGCUGUGACAACAGAGAGCAUCUGGUUCUUGCCUGAGGCUUUUGUCCCCAUCUGAAGGGUCUCUUUUUACUCUUUCAUAGAUAUAUAGUAGAUAUGUUCAUAUAUUGACACUGAUAGGUAUGUUUAUUUAGGAAGCAUUUCCUAAGCACAUGAGCCUACGUCACGUUCCUGUAGCUUCUAAUUCCUAGGGUAUAUAGAUUGUCAUGGAACCAUGAAAGUUUGUACCCUAAGUUUUGAAUAAAUUUCCAGGUAAUCCUGAUGCAUACUGCUUCUUGAGGGCCACCAACUAUAUAUAUACUUAGACAAAUUCAAACACAACUGGAGAUACAGUAAAAUCUGUCAGGAGCAUAGGUUGUAGUUAGGAGAGGUAAACAAAAUCGUUUGAUAUAUUUUGAAAUUCAGAGUUAUCAAGUGCUAUUUGGAUACAGUUAAUGCUUUCCAAGUGUGUUAAUGAGAAGUAUAGGAAGUGACUACUUUCACUGUUUGAGAAAAUAGACUUUAAGAGUCAUGAUUUGAAAAAGUAUGUGUAUGAAUGUGUGUAUAUGUGUGUGUGAGAGAGAGAGAGAGAGGGAGGCUAGGGAAAUAUGCGUUUCCUGGAGUACUCUGAGUUUUUAGUAGAAACGAAGCUGAAAAGCAGUCUAGCUGAAUGUAAUCUGUAUUACACUUGUAACUCGUGAUUGGAAAUAAAUAUUAAAAAAAAAUUAUUGCG